rnacentral:rRNA from 1 species
AUUGAACGCUGGCGGCAGGCCUAACACAUGCAAGUCGAGCGGAGCGGCGGACGGGUGAGUAAUGCCUAGGAAUCUGCCUGGUAGUGGGGGAUAACGUCCGGAAAUGGGCGCUUAUACCGCAUACUUUCACAUGAGCCUAGGUCGGAUUAGCUAGUUGGUGGGGUAAAGGCCUACCAAGGCGACGAUCCGUAACCGGUCUGAGAGGAUGAUCAGUCACACUGGGACUGAGACACGGUCCAGACUCCUACGGGAGGCAGCAGUGGGGAAUAUUGGGCAAUGGGCGAAAGCCUGAUCCAGCCAUGCCGCGUGUGUGAAGAAGGUCUUCGGAUUGUAAAGCACUUUAAGUUGGGAGGCCUUACCAACAGAAGAAGCACCGGCUAACUUCGUGCCAGCAGCCGCGGUAAUUC